GAUUAUUUAACUAUAAAAAGUAUAUAUUUUGAAAAUAUAAAAAAGAAAAUUAUUUUCUAGUAAUCU
rnacentral:tRNA from 1 species